GUUGGCUGUCUUGCCACAAAUGAGAAAUGACUUCAUACAAUUUUGUCAGUUACUGAAGGAUGAGGCAUCUGGCCACCAGAGAUGGAAUUUGGUUGAAAUGAAAACAGUAAAAACAUAAGAGGACAGAAGAACUAAAAGCGACAGCUCCUGUCUCAAUAAAAUAAAGACUUAUGGUGAAGGCUACCUUUCCAGAUAGACCAGCAGCUAAGUCACCAGUUUCCAAGGGUAUUUGCACCACCUGUGGAAAACAUCAGUUCCAUGCUCACCAGAUGUCCUUGACAACUCAUGCCGCCAUCCCCCUGCACAAAAUUUGCUGCACCAGCAGGCUAUGAAGGCAACCACUGAGCUUCUUUUCAUUACCAAGUAGAUAUAAUUUCCCUGACAACAAAACACAAGUGUCUCUUUACAGUAUCACAACCUGUUGAGACCACACUAAGAAAAUCAGCUUGCCUACACGAGGACCCCUUCUCUUCUUGGGUAGCCAGGAUUUAAAGGAGAGACUCUGACCUGUGCCACUGGAGGCUACUGGAGGAUGUGCUUCACCAAAACAAAGGAGUAAUCUAAGUAAGAAGGCAUGGGAUCCUGAGAACAUAAGAUCUCACAAAGGAAUGCAAUGAAAGAAAGUCCCAGGAUGACUACUGUGUCAAGUAAGUAGGAUGGGGGUUUAGGAAGUAGGUCUCCAGAAAACAUGGAACAAAGUGAGUAUAUGGAAAAUGUAGACAAGAAUGAGACAGAUAUUGAGAAAUUAGGAGAAAAUAAUAAGAUAAUUACAUAGAAGACUGGGUUAAUGAUA